rnacentral:rRNA from 1 species
GACAAACGCUGGCGGCGUACUUAAGACAUGCAAGUCGAACGGGUGUCCUGCUUUCGGGUGGGAUGCUAGUGGCGGAUGGGUGAGUAACGCGUAGGAACCUGUCGUUAAGUGGGGGAUACCGCUGGGAAACCGGCGCUAAUACCGCAUGUGGUCGAGCGAUCGAAGAAAGCAGCAAUGCGCUUGAUGAGGGGCCUGCGUCCGAUUAGCUAGUUGGUGGGGUAAAGGCCUACCAAGGCGCGAUCGGUAGCUGGUCUGAGAGGAUGGUCAGCCACACUGGGACUGAGACACGGCCCAGACUCCUACGGGAGGCAGCAGUUAGGAAAUUUUCACAAU